rnacentral:rRNA from 1 species
GACGAACGCUGGCGGCGUGCUUAACACAUGCAAGUCGAACGGAAAGGCCCUGCUUUUGUGGGGUGCUCGAGUGGCGAACGGGUGAGUAACUCGUGAGUAACCUGCCCUUGACUUUGGGAUAACUUCAGGAAACUGGGGCUAAUACCGGAUAGGAGCUCCUGCUGCAUGGUGGGGGUUGGAAAGUUUCGGCGGUUGGGGAUGGACUCGCGGCUUAUCAGCUUGUUGGUGGGGUAGUGGCUUACCAAGGCUUCGACGGGUAGCCGGCCUGAGAGGGUGACCGGCCACAUGGGGACGGGGUUACGGCCCAGACUCCUACGGGAGGCAGCGGUGGGGAAUAUUGCACAAGGGGCGGAGGCCUGAUGCAGAAACGCCGGGUGCGGAAGGACGCCUUUCGGUUGGUAACCGCUUUCGCCUGUGACGAAGCGUGAGUGACGGUAAUGGGUAAAGAAGCACCGGCUAACUACGUG